GCCAAAAUAGCUCAGCUGGGAGAGCGUUAGAUUGAUGAUCUAAAGGUCCCUGGUUCAGUCCUGGGUUUCAGCA